rnacentral:rRNA from 1 species
UACAGAGGUCCCAAGCGUUGUUCGGAUUCAUUGGGCGUAAAGGGUGCGUAGGCGGCGCGGUAAGUCGGGUGUGAAAUCUCGGAGCUUAACUCCGAAACUGCAUUCGAUACUGCCGUGACUCGAGUCCGGUAGGGGAGAAUGGAAUUCCCGGUGUAGCGGUGAAAUGCGCAGAGAUCGGGAGGAACACCCGUAGCGAAGGCGGUUCUCUGGGCCGGUACUGACGCUGAGGAGCGAAAGCGUGGGGAGCAAACAGG